rnacentral:lncRNA from 1 species
CGCUCGCCCGCCCGCCCCCCAGCUCCCCCGGCCCAGGCGCCUCAGGCUCUGGGCGGAGGCUGUGGAAGGUCCGGCGCGCGCGUCCCCAGCUCCCAGCUCUAGCGCCGUCGCUGCCGGCUGACACUCGGCCGAGCGCUAGCGGCUACCUCGACACCGCCGUCGCCGACGCCACUGCUGAGGCUGAAGCGGGAGCCGCCCGCCGCCGCCGCCGCCACUCCCCUCCCCCCGGCACCCGCCCGCCUCGAACUCCUGGGAACUCGGAACGCACCACCCCGCCCCACGCGAGAGGGGGAAAAGAAACCGACCCUCAGAGCGGGCGCCCGACUCGCCCGCCCUCCCCGCGCAACUACAGCUCCCGUCUGAUCCCCGGGCGCAAGCCCUGUCUCCUCCCACCCCGCCCUCCUACACAUGCUCCUCCCCUUUCAAAAAAAAUACUCUUUUCAUCCACUUUGAUAACGGGGUUUCUCCCAAAGCAGAGAUUUAAAAGGGACAGGAAAAUCUGGAAUAGUUUAGUCGGCCCUGCCCCUCGUUCCUGCCUGGUUUCCCCCCUUCCCUGCCUUUCCAAUGGUCUCGCCCACUCCACCCCUCGCGGGUCCACGGAGGCCCCGGCGCCGACUGAGGCGAGGGCUGCGGGACGAUCACGCUCGGCCCUCGCCUCUCCCGGGCGGCGCUCUCCCAGUGGCGGGGACCUGGGAUGAGGGCGGGUGGGGAGGGGAAGGCAGGAGGGGGCUGCCCUUCCGUUGCCCAUGCUAAAGGUCCCUGUGUAGGAAGCUGGACGCAGCUUGCUGGACUAGUAAUCUUCCUCCUCGCUGGGGCGCGGGGGACUGAAGGGAGAGACUUUCUCCUCCUUCCUGUUCCCCGGGACAGCUGUGCUCUCCGAAUCCCUCCCUUCUUCCCAGCCCACUUAUCCCCCGCUCGCCAAGGCACGUUUGCACAGGCGUUUUUCCUGCUCUUUUCUCUGGGAGGGCGGCUUGGUAGAAUGGUCGGCGGAGCUGGGCGAGGAGAGGGGUCUCAGAAGGUUUGCUUUCUUGCUCUUCCUUCUCACUGGCCGCUGCGCUGUCCACUUUCCGCGCCGGGCGACUGGCAACAGGAGGCCAUGGAUUUCCCCCAACGAGUCCUGUCAUCUCCACGAGAUAGCGAUAAAUGUGUUCCAGUAACAGGAAAGCUGAACAAGGAUCAGCCGCUCAGAAAUUAGCCUGUCGCAGCUAAACUAAUGCAUGCUUGCGGCCAAGACCACGCUGUCCUCGGCUUUCAGUCAAUAGGGUCUUCCCACCUUCCGCCCGCUGGAUUACAAGGCUUUAUUCACCUCCAAGGCUACAAGCCAUUCUACACCCUGCCCACCUCUUUUUUCUUUCUUAACUUCUGCCUCCCUUCCAGUCUCCCAGCGCUCGGUCUAGUGCCUUUUUCCCUCCAUCCCUUUCCUCUUCCCUCCCUCCCUAUGCCUGUCUGCCUCUGUCGUCCCCUGUAAGCUUGUCUCCUGCAGCCAAGGCUUUCUAUCGCCUAUCCUCAAGAUGCACUUAUGAAUAAACCUUGUCCUGCAUCGCUCCGGGAGAUCCCCUGAUGAUGAUCAUAAUUGACAAAAUGUAGCUAUUGUGACAUUCCUCAGCUGUGCUGACACCACCGUUUCCCUUGAGAAAAUUUUUUUCUAUAUUCGCAUUCCCUAAACCUAAUUUCACUGCUAAAUUUAGACAGCCCACUGCGCAGCCACUAGCUAAUUAUCUGUUUAGAUAGCACUUUAACACGUUGUUGAGACUCAGUUAAAUGUUAAACAACCAAAAUUUUAAUAUCACUAGCCAAUUUCAUUCCCCCAGGUUUUCCGUGAUGGCUCCACAUCUCCAAGAAAAGUAAUUUAGCCAACAUUUCAAAAAAUACCAAAGGCUUAACUUGGGUGGGGGCCAUCAGGCAAUUGCUACAGAGACCAUAAGGAAUUAGCAGGUUUAGUUCGUCUCAAAAAGAUGACAUGGAGCUUUAACAAAUAUAUUUCCUCCAUACUUAUAGAAAUUGAAUAGUGGUCUGCUAUGAUCUUCUCUGACCUAAAGUGAAGAGAGAGCAUGGAAGAGCAUUAUUUAUAGAUGUUAUAUAAGCAUUAAAAGAGCACCAUGCUGGUGUUUUAUGUGCAUAUAUGUAUUAUAUUCUAAUAAUAAUAAUUUGUGUUUAUACAGCAUCUUCAACUAAAGAUGUCAAAGCACAAGCUCACUUCCCGCGGAAGGUAGCAGUUACUAUUAUCUACUUGACAGCUACAAGAACCUAGGCACAGAGGUUAAGUGCUCUGCAAAUAAUACCAGCCAGUGGUGGUAGUAUUCGCCAGAACCAAGUUCUUGCCUUCCAGUGGACACCAUUGACCUCUCAAGAUUAUUCUUUAAGUUAAAAAGUAAGAUAACUCAAAUUUCUACUUUCUAUAAUAAAAGUGCCCAAUCUUAAAUUACAUUCUCCUCACAUGAAUGAAUUUUAGACGUACUCACCCCAAGCUUUCCUGUUGGAAAUUUUUACUGGCCACAGAAAAAGAUUUUACAUUACAUAUACAACUCAUGUUUUUCAAGGGCAGAAAUACUAUUAAUUUUUUAAAAACCUUUAGCAUAAGAGUAUUAGUGCGUUCUAUGCCGUUUUUAGCCUUCUAACUUUAUAGAUAAGUUCACAUUGUUGGAGUAACAAACUGUUUAAGGAAUACUUAAUUAUAGCUAACUUAUUAAUAUUUCUGACACCAUGGAAUAACAAAGUAUACAUGCAUUUUUUGAGAAAAAAAUUAUCUGAACAGAAAGCAACGUAAUCCUAAUGCCAACAAUAGUUUCAUUGUUUUGGGUUAAGAGUACUGAUGGUGUCCAUCCUACUUUCGGCUCAAACAUUGUUUGCCAAUUAUCAAGGUUCAUUAACUCUUAACUAAAAAACAAAGGUUGACAUCUUAACAAAGAAGUAAUUAUGUACAGUGCUGGGCAUUUUACAUUUACUCAAAUAAUCCAAGUGAAAGGUUUGAGACUAUUAUUAGAAUUUCAUAGCUGACUCUGAAACAAAGGAGGUGUUUUGUAGGAGAGGUAAGACAUUAUGUACUUCAGCUAAUUCUUCUUAACAUCAGCAAAUUUUUUAUAAACUGUUGUGUGAGGAAGCAUAGCUUUUCCUCUAGUAGAAGAGGUGAACGAUAUUUUGUAGAAUAUUUGAACUUUGUACUAUAUUUGAUAAUAAGCUUAUGUUACCCAGUUAGGAUCACAGUUUUUGUAAAGAGAAUUAUGCAAAUAAUAAAAAACAAACUGCAAAACCACAGAAAAGUCCAUCCACUUGCAAAAUGUUCACCAACCUUACUCUUAUUAAAUGCAAGUCUUUCUUACCGAAGAGAUCUUCCCUGUAUGCUCAUAUGACUUUCUCCCUCCUAUUUCCUUUGAAUCUUUAAUAAAAUUUAACUUUAUCAUUGAGGCUCUCCAGGACCACAUCGUAUGAAAGAGCUGCCCCCACCCUAAUUCCUAUGCCCUUAACUUGCUUUAUUUUCUUCAUUGCCCUUACCAUCUGACAUAUCUCUAAUUUACUGUCUGUUCCCUUUCACUAGAAUGAACAUUCCACAAGGGCAAGCAAGUAUCUAUAUUUUCACUGUUAAAACUCAAGUAGGCCAGGCACAGUGCCUCCUGCCUGAAAUCCCACCACUUUGGGAGGCCAAGGCUGGCAGAUUGCUUGGGUCCAGGAGUUCAAGACGAGCCUGGCAACAUGGCUGUGUUAGUCUGCUCUCAUGCUGCUAAUAACGACAUACUUGAGAUUGUGUAAUUUAUAAAGGAAAGAGGUUUAAUUGACUCACAGUUCCACAUGGCUUGGGAGGCCUUAAUCAUGGAGGAAGGCAAGGAGGAGCAAAGUCACAUCUUACGUGGUGGCAGGCAAGAGAGCAUGUCCAGGAAAACUCCCCUUUAUAAAGCCAUCAGAUCUCAUGAGACUUAUUCACUAUCAGGAGAACAGCACAGGAAAGACCUGCCCCCAUGAUUCGAUUACCUUCCACUGGGUCCCUUCCACAGCACGUGGGAAUUGUGGGAGCUACAAUUAAAGAUGAGUUUUGGGUGGGGAC